rnacentral:ncRNA from 1 species
CAGAGUAGAUAACAAGCGUUAAGUGUUUGAGAAUGGAACGUUGUCUCAAGACGAAAAGCUAUGCUUGCGGUUUGUUAUCGCGUUCACUGC